UACGGGGGGGGUAAGCGUUGUUCGGAAUUACUGGGCGUAAAGGGCUCGUAGGCGGCCAACUAAGUCAUACGUGAAAUCCUUCAGCUUAACUGGGGAACUGCGUGUGAUACUGGAUGGCUUGGAUUUGGGAGAGGGAUGCGGAAUUCCAGGUGUAGCGGUGAAAUGCGUAGAUAUCUGGAGGAACACCGGUGGCGAAGGCGGCAUCCUGGACCAAUAUUGACGCUGAGGAGCGAAAGCCAGGGGAGCAAACGGG
rnacentral:rRNA from 1 species